UUUAAUGGAAUAUUUGCAAAAGAAAUAAUAACAGAAAUUAAUACGGGAACAACUACAAGUGUAAUACAUAUAACGGAAGUUGAUAUAAAUAAAUGUGAAGAGAUAGAACCACAAAUAAUAAACGAACCAAAUAACUCAAGGGAAUCAAUAGUAACAAAGGCUAUAAAACUAAGAAUAAAAAUCCAAGAUUUAGAAUAUAAUUUAA
rnacentral:lncRNA from 1 species